rnacentral:rRNA from 1 species
GGUGAACGCUGGCGGUAGGCCUAACACAUGCAAGUCGAACGGCAGCACAGUAAGAGCUUGCUCUUACGGGUGGCGAGUGGCGGACGGGUGAGGAAUACAUCGGAAUCUACUUUUUCGUGGGGGAUAACGUAGGGAAACUUACGCUAAUACCGCAUACGACCUACGGGUGAAAGCAGGGGAUCUUCGGACCUUGCGCGAUUGAAUGAGCCGAUGUCGGAUUAGCUAGUUGGCGGGAUAAAGGCCCACCAAGGCGACGAUCCGUAGCUGGUCUGAGAGGAUGAUCAGCCACACUGGAACUGAGACACGGUCCAGACUCCUACGGGAGGCAGCAGUGGGGAAUAUUGGACAAUGGGCGCAAGCCUGAUCCAGCCAUACCGCGUGGGUGAAGAAGGCCUUCGGGUUGUAAAGCCCUUUUGUUGGGAAAGAAAAGCAGCAGGUUAAUACCCCGCUGUUCUGACGGUACCCAAAGAAUAAGCACCGGCUAACUUCGUG